rnacentral:rRNA from 1 species
GAUGAACGCUGGCGGCGUGCCUAAUACAUGCAAGUCGAGCGAACGGACGAGAAGCUUGCUUCUCUGAUGUUAGCGGCGGACGGGUGAGUAACACGUGGAUAACCUACCUAUAAGACUGGGAUAACUUCGGGAAACCGUAGCUAAUACCGGAUAAUAUUUUGAACCGCAUGGUUCAAAAGUGAAAGACGGUCUUGCUGUCACUUAUAGAUGGAUCCGCGCUGCAUUAGCUAGUUGGUAAGGUAACGGCUUACCAAGGCAACGAUGCAUAGCCGACCUGAGAGGGUGAUCGGCCACACUGGAACUGAGCCACGGUCCAGAGUCCUACGGGAGGCAGCAGUAGGGAAUCUUCCGCAAUGGGCGAAAGCCUGACGGAGCAACGCCGCGUGAGUGAUGAAGGUCUUCGGAUCGUAAAACUCUGUUAUUAGGGAAGAACAUAUGUGUAAGUAACUGUGCACAUCUUGACGGUACCUAAUCAGAAAGCCACGGCUAACUACGUG